rnacentral:misc_RNA from 1 species
GUUUUCUGGUCUUUUCUGUUCCCCGUCCCAGCCGCAUCAUUUCAUUUCUAUGGGGUUUUCAGAAAUUGAUACAUGAUGGUCUUCUUGUUGGGCAUUAUGGUUAGAAGUGGGUUUGCUUUCUCAUUGAUCUUAGAGCACUUGCCUUGAGGUUGUGAGGCAGAGAAGGUGACGAUGGCUACUUAUUACCCCAGUUUAACCAGCCAGAGAGACAACAUGCAAAGUCCAUAUCUAGGAGACCAGAAACUUGCUUCUUAUUCUG